GAUGAACGCUAGCGGCAGGCUUAAUACAUGCAAGUCGAGGGGUAACAUGGGGUAGCAAUACUCUGAUGACGACCGGCAAACGGGUGCGGAACACGUACGCAACUUUCCCAAAACUGGUGAAUAGCCCUCCGAAAGGAGGAUUAAUACACCGUAACAUAACGAGGUGGCAUCAUCUUGUUAUUAUAGCUCCGGCGGUUUUGGAUGGGCGUGCGCCUGAUUAGGUAGUUGGCGGGGUAACGGCCCACCAAGCCUACGAUCAGUAACUGGUGUGAGAGCACGACCAGUCACACGGGCACUGAGACACGGGCCCGACUCCUACGGGAGGCAGCAGUAAGGAAUAUUGGUCAAUGGACGAAAGUCUGAACCAGCCAUGCCGCGUGAAGGAUGAAGGCCC
rnacentral:rRNA from 1 species